rnacentral:lncRNA from 1 species
CAAAACAAAGCUGCUAACACCUCAAGAAUUCUGAUUUUGGCUUGUAGCUUAGUCUUGCAAUGAGAAAUUUAAUGGCAGAUAACCUUUUCCUCUUACAGACUGACAGCACUGGAGAUGUAACUAGAAUCUUUCAGUUGUCAGCAAACUGUUUUGGUGUAUUUUGUUUUCUUGUCAAUAUACAUAUAGCUGCCAAUGUAAUGAUUUGGGGAGAUGCAAAAACUCACUGAAGAUUUAUCCUUCACACUAGAAUUUAUUUUCCAUACCAAGGAAGCAAAUGGUGAGACAGUCGAGGGCAAGAAGAUUGGUGUUUGUGAAGAAGCAUAAGAAUGAUCCUGUCCAUUUGUGAAGUCUAAAACUCUUCAGGAGCUGUGGUCAUACACCACAGUGGCCACUGUGCAUAGAGC